rnacentral:rRNA from 1 species
CCUACGGGAGGCAGCAGUGAGGAAUAUUGGUCAAUGGACGAAAGUCUGAACCAGCCAAGUAGCGUGAAGGAUGACGGCCCUAUGAGUUGUAAACUUCUUUUAUAUAGGAGUAAAAUGUUCCACGUGUGGGAUUUUGAAUGUACCAUAUGAAUAAGGCUCGGCUAACUACGUGCCAGCAGCCGCGGUAAUACGGAGGAUCCGAGCGUUAUCCGGAUUUAGUGGGUUUAAAGGGAGCGUAGGUGGAUUGUUAAGUCAGUUGUGAAAGUUUGCGGCUCAACCGUAAAACUGCAGUUGAAACUGGUAGUCUUGAGUAGAGUAGAGGUAGGCGGAAUUCGUGGUGUAGCGGUGAAAUGCUUAGAGAUCACGAAGAACUCCGAUUGCGAAGGCAGCUUACUAGACUAUAACUGACACUGAGGCUCGAAAGUGUGGGUAGCAAACAGGAUUAGAUACCCUUGUAGUC